GUGCAUUUUAAGUACACUACCCCAGUGAAUAGCAGCUCUGUUAAUCUUCUAUCAGGGACUCAGCUGACUCCAAUGUAGAAAAGCACUGUGGCUCCUGAUAGAACAUUUGUUGUGUUUCAGCUAUUACGAACUUCAGACUGAUAGGAAAAACAUGUUUGUUCCUGGGGAGAAGUACUUCACACUUUCUGAACUUUCAGGCUGCUGGGUUGAGCGCACAAUUGGUGCAGUUUCUUUUGAAGUGGAUAAUCCAGUACACGGCUGAGCAAAUGACAAACCAGAUGUGGAAUGAAAGGUACCCCUCGGGGCUCAGAUAACCUGAGAAACAAUGGAAUCUGCGGGACAUUUCUAGUGAGUCAGACCCUUGUUCUGCUCCACAAAAGGGGAGAAGAAAAAAACAAAACCACGGUGACACAUAAAACAUGCAGCAACAAAUUGAUGGCAACUUCUGCAAAUGGGAACAUGAACUACAUGGCAUGUGGAUAAAAGAGAAAGCAUCUGCAAAACAUGUGAGGAAAACUGAAAAUAAUUCUAGCAAUUAUGAUUAUAGUGUUGUAUACUCUACUGCACUUAAUUACAAUUUUCUGUUCUUUUCAUGCUAUGGAAAUGGACUAAAUGGACUACAAAAUAUAUCUCAAAAGACAAGCAAUCUGUGGCAUGAAUAGGAUCCUUCUUUAUCUUAAUACAAUGAGGACUACAUUUCAUAAACAUGGCAG
ensembl:lncRNA